rnacentral:lncRNA from 1 species
AGUGCAAGAGCAGUGAUUCUGGGAUUCAGAUAUGCCAAAGAGAAGCCAUGAAGUGCAUCUUUUAAAUUAAAAGCCUACCUAUUCUCCCAGAGGGCAUGCAUUCUAUGGAGACAGAGCUGAAUGUGUGCCAUCAGAAGACCAAAAUCAAGCGACAUUUUAAAAAGAAAACAGACUCUUCUGGGAAAAAUGGUGACUCCACAAAGUAAGAAGCCACCAAGACUUGUAGGACAUUCCUUCAUCUUCUCCUGGAUGGGGCAACCCAGCCAUGGAUAUAUGCCUCCAAUCAGCAUAAAUGCCCAUUGCUUGAUAAAGUCAACACACGUGUAAGAUGACAUAUUGCAGGUAUCUGUCACAUCAAGCAAGGUUUGAAGAAGAAACAACUGGAGAAUUUUACUUAUGUGGAUGAAAAAGCAAACAGAAGUUAGUCCAGCAUGGAAGUCACAUGCUUUGGGAUUGUAGCAUUGUGUUCUCCUGUAGGAGGUGAUCCAUUGUCAUUUAUCGGAAUCCAUCUUCACUCAAAAGGAAAAAA